CCUUCAUGGUACUGGAAUUAAAAAAUCGGUCUGUGUGUGGUGUUAAUGUAUUUAGCAGCAUGAUUGAUAUAACAGAGUCUCGGUGAGGCGGACCAGGAGAGCACGCUCUCAAAAGGCCAACCUGGAGGAGCGCGUUCCACGUCUAGUAGCCGGCGGAAAUCACUCUGAAUUGGAAGACACUCUUGGGAACUUGACUGAAGACAAAAGGCGCCUGGCAGAUGUGGGUUGGAUGCUUAAAUUGGGCUCCAGGAGAGAAAGGGAGAGGAAUCUUCUGUGUCUCCAAGCAAAGAUGUAAAGAAGACAGAAACUGUUUUGGUCAUAAGGGAGGAGCUACAGACCUUGAACUUCUUGCUCCCAGGGGAUCUAUACCAGCCUGGAGUUUGUUUGUAUGUGGUUUCAUCGUAGACAUUUCGUUGUGGGCUGUCCAGUGAUGCCCAGGAACAAGGCUACUCAUGCAUUGAGGUACCAUGCCUUAUUUAGAUGAGUCAUGGGAUAAUUUUUUGAGACCUCUGAGUUAAUCUUGAGUUAGUACCUGAAAACAGAAAGAAUCAUAAAGAAGAGAGCAUUGGUCGUGAAGUCAGAAAAUCAAGUUUAAUGGCUUUGCCAUUUCUAGCUAUAUGUCUUGGGGUGAGUCACUUAGACUGUCUCUAUUUCAUCCAUAUGCCUACCAGAGUUUAUGUGAAGUUCAAGUAUAAUACAUACAUAAACAGUAUUAUAUAUAUGUAUGUAUAUAUAGUAUAUAAUAUUUAGUGUAUACAUCAUAUAGUAUUCAUUAUACU
rnacentral:lncRNA from 1 species